rnacentral:rRNA from 1 species
GACGAACGCUGGCGGCGUGCUUAACACAUGCAGGUCGAACGGAAAGGCCCUGCUUUUGUGGGGUGCUCGAGUGGCGAACGGGUGAGUAACACGUGAGUAACCUGCCCUUGACUUUGGGAUAACUUCAGGAAACUGGGGCUAAUACCGGAUAGGAGCUCCUGCUGCAUGGUGGGGGUUGGAAAGUUUCGGCGGUUGGGGAUGGACUCGCGGCUUAUCAGCUUGUUGGUGGGGUAGUGGCUUACCAAGGCUUUGACGGGUAGCCGGCCUGAGAGGGUGACCGGCCACAUUGGGACUGAGAUACGGCCCAGACUCCUACGGGAGGCAGCAGUGGGGAAUAUUGCACAAUGGGCGGAAGCCUGAUGCGGCAACGCCGCGUGCGGGAUGACGGCCUUCGGGUUGUAAACCGCUUUCGCCUGUGACGAAGCGUGAGUGACGGUAAUGGGUAAAGAAGCACCGGCUAACUACGUG